rnacentral:lncRNA from 1 species
ACUGUCCGCCCCUGGCACCACGGCCCCACCGGGAGUGGAAGCCGCCAGCACUCCCUGCUUCGAGCCUUCCGGGAGGCCCCCAAUCCAGGAUCAAGACCCAGCCCCGUCACGGCCUGGCUCACGAGGCCCCACUUCAACUGCCCCUGACCUCUCUGCGCCCCCUGCUCCCGCCAGCCCUGCCGGCCGCUGCCCUGGAGAAGGAGCUGCAGAUGGAUCCCCAGUGAGUAGGAGGCAGCCGUGUGAGUCAGGCAGCGGAGGGAACGGGCUGCAUCGCGGAGAGGAGGUGCGAAGCAGCGCGCCGUUUCCGGGCUCUGGAAGCCGAGCUGCCGAGGCGUAAGCUGGGAGGUGGACAUGACGGGGGAGUGGGGAAGGGCAGGCGGCGGGACGGCCACACAGCGGAAUAUUAUGCAACUUAUAAAAAAUUUAAUUACCUGCCUACCAAUAGACUUAAAGGGAUUUCUAUAAGGUAUUAUUGGGUGAGAAAAGCAAUUUGGAGAUAAGAAUGUAACAUACGAUCCCAUUUUUAUAAAACAA